rnacentral:rRNA from 1 species
AACGAACGCUGGCGGCAUGCCUAACACAUGCAAGUCGAACGAGACCUUCGGGUCUAGUGGCGCACGGGUGCGUAACGCGUGGGAACCUGCCCUUAGGUUCGGAAUAACUCCCCGAAAGGGGUGCUAAUACCGGAUAAUGUCUUCGGACCAAAGAUUUAUCGCCUUUGGAUGGGCCCGCGUUGGAUUAGCUAGUUGGUAGGGUAAAAGCCUACCAAGGCGACGAUCCAUAGCUGGUCUGAGAGGAUGAUCAGCCACACUGGGACUGAGACACGGCCCAGACUCCUACGGGAGGCAGCAGUAUAGAAUAUUGGACAAUGGGCGAAAGCCUGAUCCAGCAAUGCCGCGUGAGUGAUGAAGGCCUUAGGGUUGUAAAGCUCUUUUACCCGGGAUGAUAAUGACAGUACCGGGAGAAUAAGCUCCGGCUAACUCCGUG